CAAUAGCGUAUAUUAAAGCUGUUGCGGUUAAAAAGCUCGUAGUUGGAUUUCUGGUGGGAGCGAUCGGUCUGGCGCUUAGCGCGAGUACUUGCAUCGUCUCCGGCCAUCCUUGGGGAGAGUCUGUCUGGCAUUAAGUUGUCGGGCAGAGGAUCCUCAUCGUUUACUGUGAAAAAAUUAGAGUGUUCAAAGCAGGCUUAUGCCGUUGAAUAUAUUAGCAUGGAAUAAUAAGAUAGGACUUUGGUACUAUUUUGUUGGUUUGCGCACCAAAGUAAUGAUUAAUAGGGACAGUUGGGGGUAUUCGUAUUCCGUUGUCAGAGGUGAAAUUCUUGGAUUUACGGAAGACGAACUACUGCGAAAGCAUUUACCAAGGAUGUUUUCAUUGA
rnacentral:rRNA from 1 species